rnacentral:sRNA from 1 species
AUUAACCCAUUAAGGAUCUUCUCGCAAGGCGUUUAAAACCGGCCUUUAAUGGGUUAAAUUGUAAAGAAAUAAAAACAUGUAUAUACGUAUUACGUACGUACCAAAAGUUUAUAUGUUGAGUUAUGGAGCUAGGGGCAUAGGAGCAUAGUGCCCUCCUCUUCCGUCCUGCGCGACGCUUUACCUAAUCGGCUUGGACCGGCUCUAUUUGGCGACACGCUUUCUGGACACAAACUGAUAUUCCGCGAUCCCUCCUCUAGCCCCACCCGCAGGUCGCACCCUCUGGUGGCUAGGAAUUCCUCUUGCGUGCCCGCGGUCAGCGAUAUGUAUACCAUCGUUUACCAGGGGCUUCACGCUUCUGGUCUUCCGGUUCAUAUGAUCGAGUGCAAUUUGACUGCAGAAAAUAUUCUUGAUUGGCCCAUGAUAAGGACCAAAUCAAGUAUUUUUGUCUUACGGUCACAGGAAGCUGUCGCACACCAAGGUCGGACCACAAAUAACAAAGAAAUAAAAAUAUGCAUGCAUUAUGAAAUUUGCCAAAAA